rnacentral:misc_RNA from 1 species
GUUCGAGCGCCGUUUUAAAUAUUAAGACUUUGUCUUUUGUUGAUAUUCUCACUUUACAGUGAUUUAUCUAAAUAUUUUGGCGUGUUUAAUAGCUUCAAAAAACGCAGUGAAAAUGUGUUUUAUUAUCUAUCAAAUACUUGCCUUGUUUUAUUUUACAUAAACAUGGCCUCGGAUCAAAUAGGGAUACCCGCUGAACUUAA